rnacentral:sRNA from 29 species
GUUUGCACUUGUCGGGGAAGGGUGAGAACCUUCGAUUAAGGUUCGACUCGAGCGAAAGCGAGAGAACGUUGCCAACGGCAACGGCCCGAAGGGUGAGGAGCGAAGCGACGAAUAAUCCUUCCCCCACCACCA